rnacentral:lncRNA from 1 species
GGACACCCAACUUCUGAGAAUUAAAUAAAACAAAAAAGCCUCCUCCAGACACAGAAAGGACAUCGUUCACCUCAGGCACUUGGCACCACGACACAGGGAAUGUGAUGUAAGCAUUUCCUUCGCCACAAAGAAAAUGCAUCUGAGGAGAAUAUGAAAAGUUGGUCUCCACAAAAUUGACACGUGAUCAUUGUGAGUCCAAACUAAAUGUGUUAAUCUGGAAAAAUGAGUACCGGCAGAUUUCUUGUUCCUUUAUUAAGCAAUGAUCUAGCACAAAACAAUGCAUUACUUAUAGCAUCUGCCUCAUCUUUGAAAUCACAAGUAAAGUUUUAAAACACUGCCUACAACAGAAACGUACAUGCUCUGGACCAGAGCUCCCAUAAACACAUACAGUAAACACACAGACCAUGCUUCCCAUUCUUUACUGCAAAAUUUACCUGAAUUUUAUAAAGAGAAAUCUAUGAUUCCACGGCAUCCAAUGUGUCUUGUGUGAACUGACAUUAGCUGAGGCAAAGAGGCUCUACAUCAUACAGAGGACAUACGUAUUUCUUGUUUGCCAUUUAGCGCACACACACAGAGUUCCCUGUAUGCGCACACACAAACACACAGGUAACUGAGCAGGGCUUUCUUCAAAGUGCUAGACUUCCAUAGAUUGGCGGCAUUCUUUAAGAGUUCACAUAAAAAGUAGGAUGGAUACACUGUAAGUAUAACUUUAGGACAACCAAGCAAAAAAAAAAUAUCAAAUCCCACUUUGAGAUAUAAAAUGAUGUAACUCAUAUGUCACUGUCACUUUAUCUUCCAGCUUCUGAAUCCACGGGUAUUAUUUCUGUUUUUGUUAUGUGACACAGAAUAAGCUUCUCUGAAUUUCCCCCCCAAAAAAUCUACUUACACAGAAAAACAGUUACUGGAGAUUCUCUAGACAUGACAUCCAGGUAGGUGAGGGCUCCCAAAAGCUUUUUUCUACUUGAAUCACAAUAGGUUGCAUCUAAAGUAAGAGCACUUUAAACGCCUCUCCCUUUUUUUUGUAUAAGUAAAUACAGAUAUUUAGAUUGGCUCAACUUCACACCAAGACACAGAGCAGAGCUACCUGUACUGCCUCCUAGCGGAAAGAUCAUUUUUUCAUUUGUUUCAUGAAGCACUGGAGUAUAGUAUAUUUAGUUACUAAGCUAUUCUUCACGAUUUAAAAUUACAAUUACACAAAUUUUUAGUUUGAUAAUUAGUACCUCCCAAAAAAGCAUGUCGUGAACUCUCAUUUUAUUUACAAACAUAAUUGCUCUUAAUAAAACAACCACCAAUAUUUCCUACAUACAGUUAAUAGAGGCUACUCAAUAAAUACUGAACUGAACAGACUUAUUCCUGUUUAUAUGACAAACAGAACAAACUUUAAGAAUAAUCCUUAUCUGUAUAACAUAUACGCUACAUCAUACUGAUUGUUUUGUCAGUUAUUAGAAUCAAAUGACAAUCAUUCGGCUUUGGAUAAUAGUGAAAAUAUACCCUAAAGAUGAAUUAUCCGUGUAAUCCUUUUGGUUUUAAGUAAAUCACACAGCUAAAUUUCUCUCUUGCAGUCAGUUUGGAAGGAGGCAGAAAACAGGUAAAAAUCCAGUCAAG